GUCCUCAUCGUCUAGUCGGCCAAGGACAUCGGCCUUUCACGCCGGUAACAGGGGUUCAAAUCCCCUUGAGGACGCCA
rnacentral:tRNA from 1 species